UCCACCUUCAUCCUUCCUCUGUCUCUCUCCCAAUGUUGUCAUCAACCAUAAUUCGCUAGAUCUCUUAUUCUACCUGCAUCGCCAUUCAACAUCGUUAGUUGUCGUCUCUCUCUGAUUCAAAUCUGUCAAACCACAAGGAACUCUUCAAUCAUAAAGGAAGCAUAUGAUUCUACCUCUCAAUCAUAAACUCUUCUCUGUUGGAAACGAAUGGCUAAGGAAAGGAAGCAAGAGAUUCUACGGCUCAGAGAAGAUUUGAAAGAAUCUCAAGAUGCUUUACUUUGUGACCUCUUUCGUGAGAGUGCUUCUUGCAAGUGUUAUUUGUUCAAUGAUUUAGGGGAAUUAAAUCCAAAGCAUCAUGGAAGUAAAUCUUUCAUCGGGUUCAAUGACGUACUUUGUCGAAGAUUUCUAAGACAAGUGCGAUUUAAGGAAAGGGGAGAAGGAUUUGUUCUUUGUCUUCUUCAGGUAAAGUUGGUUUGAGAAUAUAAUGAGUGGUGACAAAUCCGACGGCGAAUUUGUCAAUAGGUUAUGCUAUCAAUUGCAAAAUUUUAAUCAAAUUCAUUCUCUCUGUUGUUAAAUUUAAAGUCUUUCGUUUUUGGAAUGAUGUGGUGAUUUUUUGGAAGGUCUUUAUGUAUAAAGGUUUUAAUGUCUUUAUGUAUAAUGGUUUUAAACUCUUCACUUUUAUUAGUUACUAUCUGUUGUUUCAGCUUGGAUACAAACUCAAAGACGACCAAGCUGAGAGUUUAGCGUUUCAUAGCUGUGACUGAGAAAAAUUAGGAAUUCUAAAACGGAAUUUAUUCUUAAGGAUCAUACCUGCUUUCUGAGAUGAUUGAUACUAUGUUGAACUGUUCUUCAGUUAUUUCCUUAAUUUUCUAAUUUAAACUAAUAUCGUCAUAAUAUGCUCAUUUUCGUCAUAAUAUGGUUUUAUUCUUAAGGAUCAUACCUACUUUCUGAGAUGAUUGAUACUGCAAGUUGAUUGAUCAUGAAGAAAUUAUAGCAUUGCUUUCAAAAGGGUUUUGAUAUCUUUCAUAUGAUUAUUUGGUAAUAGUUUCCUUGAUAAAUUUGAAUUGUUGGAUUGCGAAAUUUUAUUAAAGACUAACAUUAACAUUUGUGUUGUUCAGGACCAAUUUGCAGUCUUUCAAGCAUUAACAUUAACAUUGUACUAUUUGCAAUCCAUUUGCAUGCUGCUUUUUUGAGAUCUUUGAUUUGCGUUAAUUAUUUUAUGAGAUCCUCUUUUUAUGCUCAUUGUUAAGGUUCUUUGAGAAAUAACUAAUAGUUGGACAAUGAGAAUGUCCUUAGUUUAACUGCUUAAUUAUAUGGUGGUUUUUGAUACUGUUUUAUUUUAUUUUACGCCUACAGGUAUGAAGAUGGAAAUACAACUUUGAUGAAGUUUUCUACAGCUGCAAAUUUUAUAUGGUCAGAUGCUCCCCUGGAGAUUUUUGGUUAUGUUACUUCUAUAAGCUUUACUGAUCCAGCUGAUAUACCAAUCAAGGAUGACAAGCUGACUGACAUUUUAUAUUCUGACAUGAAAAUUGAAUUUAAUAAAAAAUCUCAUUUUAAAUUUUAUCCAAAUUGAGAAAAUUCCAAAUUCUCCAAUGUUCCCUUAUUAAUUGUUAUCAGAACCAUUGUGUGCAGUUUGGAACAGAUACAUGUAUGGCAUUCAUAUGUUGGUUCACUAAAGUUCAAUUGUGUGUAGUUUGGAACAUAUACAGGCAUGCCAUGGCAUUCAUGUGUGGUAUAACUAUUGACAGCACAAAUUUAAAAAGCUUCAUGUGCAACGCUGAUAAUAGCUGAAGAAAAAGUAUUCUGAGCUUCAAGAGUCACAUAAUGCUUUAUGAGAAGUUGUAAAGUUGCUUGAACAAACCGCAUAUUAUAAUCAUUCAGCACACAAGGUGUUUGUGAUUGUGGCAGCACCCAAGGAAGGGUUUGAAAUGUUAUUUGUUUCUCACAUUCAUCAGCUAGCAACUAUUCGUAAAACUUGUGGUACAGUUACAUGACACUGUCAGUUCAGUCUAAGUGUAGGGAUAUUAUGUAUAUUAUGUGUAGUGAUUCAGUCUUACUGGUAAUAGAUUAUAACUUAUGUUCUUGUAUCUUGUGGAUGUUUGCAUCUUUAAGUUGACUCAUACACUAUUUAUAGCUGUAAACUAAAUAAUUGAUGCUUCACAUUUUAUUAA